rnacentral:rRNA from 1 species
GAUGAACGCUGGCGGCGUGCCUAAUACAUGCAAGUCGAGCGAACGGACGAGAAGCUUGCUUCUCUGAUGUUAGCGGCGGACGGGUGAGUAACACGUGGAUAACCUACCUAUAAGACUGGGAUAACUUCGGGAAACCGUAGCUAAUACCGGAUAAUAUUUUGAACCGCAUGGUUCAAAAGUGAAAGACGGUCUUGCUGUCACUUAUAGAUGGAUCCGCGCUGCAUUAGCUAGUUGGUAAGGUAACGGCUUACCAAGGCAACGAUGCAUAGCCGACCUGAGAGGGUGAUCGGCCACACUGGAACUCAGACACGGUCCAGACUCCUACGGGAGGCAGCAGUAGGGAAUCUUCCGCAAUGGGCGAAAGCCUGACGGAGCAACGCCGCGUGAGUGAUGAAGGUCUUCGGAUCGUAAAACUCUGUUAUUAGGGAAGAACAUAUGUGUAAGUAACUGUGCACAUCUUGACGGUACCUAAUCAGAAAGCCACGGCUAACUACGUG